ensembl:snRNA U6 U6 spliceosomal RNA
GUGCUCACUUCGACAGCACAUAUAUUAAAAUUGGAAUGAUACAGAGAAGAUUUGCAUGGCCCCUGUGCAAGGGUGACACAUAAAUUAACGUCACCAAUUUAG